AAAAAAGAAUACACAGAGGGAAGGAGAGGAAAGGAAUCCUGCAUACACAUAGAAUUAUCCCCGCCAUUGCCUUCAUCUCUGCAGACAUCCCUGCACAAAAAAAGAAAACACCCAAAACAAUAACAGAAAGCCGGCACCUUCAUUUCAUCCCAGGAGCAGCUGAAAGAAUAAAGCAUUCGGGCACAAAAGCAAAAAGAAGCAGAAG
rnacentral:lncRNA from 1 species